rnacentral:rRNA from 1 species
UAAUACGGAGGGUGCAAGCGUUAAUCGGAAUUACUGGGCGUAAAGCGCACGCAGGCGGUUUGUUAAGUCAGAUGUGAAAUCCCGGGCUCAACCUGGGAACUGCAUUUGAAACUGGCAAGCUAGAGUCUCGUAGAGGGGGGUAGAAUUCCAGGUGUAGCGGUGAAAUGCGUAGAGAUCUGGAGGAAUACCGGUGGCGAAGGCGGCCCCCUGGACGAAGACUGACGCUCAGGUGCGAAAGCGUGGGGAGCAAACAGGAUUAGAUACCCUGGUAGUCCACGCUGUAAACGAUGUCGAUUUGGAGGUUGUGCCCUUGAGGCGUGGCUUCCGGAGCUAACGCGUUAAAUCGACCGCCUGGGGAGUACGGCCGCAAGGUUA